GACGAACGCUGGCGGCGUGCUUAACACAUGCAAGUCGAGCGGUAAGGCCCCUUCGGGGGUACACGAGCGGCGAACGGGUGAGUAACACGUGAGCAAUCUGCCCAUCACAUCGGGAUAACUCCGGGAAACCGAAGCUAAUACCGAAUACGACCACCUCCGGCAUCGGAGGUGGUGGAAAGCUCCGGCGGUGAUGGAUGAGCUCGCGGCCUAUCAGCUUGUUGGUGGGGUAAUGGCCUACCAAGGCUUCGACGGGUAGCCGGCCUGAGAGGGUGACCGGCCACACUGGGACUGAGACACGGCCCAGACUCCUACGGGAGGCAGCAGUGGGGAAUAUUGGACAAUGGGCGAAAGCCUGAUCCAGCAACGCCGCGUGAGGGAUGACGGCCUUCGGGUUGUAAACCUCUUUCAGCAGGGACGAAGCGCAAGUGACGGUACCUGCAGAAGAAGCACCGGCCAACUACGUGCCAGCAGCCGCCGUAA
rnacentral:rRNA from 1 species